UCAAGAGAGAGGAAGAGAAGACAAAUACAUAAAGAAAAGUGAGAUGAAGAGCCAGGCAGACAAAGACAAACAGACAAGGAAGAAGAUGAGAAAGACCGACUCAAAGACAAGGGAGAUGAAGAGAAGUUCAGAUACAGAAAAGGGAGAGCAAGAGAAAGUCAGAGAAAAAAAGAAGCACAAGAUAGAAGACCAUAAACAACUUUUCCAAGAAAGAGCAAGAGAAAAUCACAGAAGAAAAAGUAACACAAGACAGAAGACCAUAAAUUACUUUUCCAAAAGAGAGAAAGAGAAAAUCACAGGAGAAAAAGUAACACAAGAUAGAAGACCAUAAACAAAUUUUCCAAUUUAGGCAGCAGCAAACAGAUCCAGUUAGGAGAUUCUAUCAGAGAACCUGCUGGGAAACCAAUGUAAAUGACAACCAAUGACAUCUCUUCCAUGUAAAUAGAUGAUGAAUAUUAUUGCACAGCUGGAACACCAGAUGACCAGACAUCAUUGCUUUGUGAAGACUGCUUAAGAGAAAUUACAA